CUCACACACCUAGGCUUCAAAGUUUGUGAUUCCUGAUCGAAUAGUGGACCAGUUGGGUGAAGCACUGCUUUUUGGGCAUAGUAGAAAACCUCAGGGAUCUGAGUAUGUUUAAAUGCUGAACACUCGGUGCAAGUCUCAAUUUCCCAAAACUGUUGCAUUAUUGGUGACGUCACUUGCUCCAAGCUCACCUGCUGGUUCUCAUCCCUUAAAUCCAGCUUGCAACCCACCACUAUGACUGGCACCUUCACCUCCAAACGGCGAAGCUCUGGAAGCCAGAAGGUACUCAAUCGAUCAAGAGUCUCUGGCUUGUCACAUGCAUAAGUAAGAACAACUGCAUCAGCUCGCUUUAGUUCUUCAGCUACUUUACCAGAAUCCUCAACUCUAGAGGAAGUAUCGAUGAUAGUAACAGGGAUUCGAUCAGGAUAGAAAUCCUCAGGCAGCCUGGUGGGCGGGAGAACCGGCGGAACAUUAACCGGAAAAUUGUCAGUGGCGGCUGUGACCAUCAAGCUCGACUUCCCGGUGCCACGGUCUCCAGCUACCACGAUACGGACUCCACUCUUACUGCCCAGGCUAGUAGUUCCAGUUGCAACUUUCGCCAUAUAUAAAUUAUAAAUAAAA
rnacentral:misc_RNA from 1 species